rnacentral:sRNA from 1 species
GCCAGGUGAGGUGGCACAUGCCUGUAAUCCCAGCAGCUUGGGAGGCUGAGGCAGGAGGAUUGAGAGUUCAAAGCCAGCCUCAGCAAAAGCAAGGUGCUAAACAACUCAGUGAAACCCUGUCUCUG